AUGGUCAAUACCAUCUCUGAUGGACUUGCAGAAGAGCUACUACCACUGCUGUGGCCGCCGUUCAGGGGUAAAAGUGGGCCAAUGCAUCUGAAGGAGUCUUGCACGCAGUCUGAAGGUGCCUUCGAGGAUGAAGUCGACACCAUGCACGCCAAGUUGGACAUCACGACUCUGCCGUCAAGCACGUCGUCCACCCAUCCAGUACAUGCUUCGCUACCCGUCACUGAGAUGGGAAACAAACUUCAAGUGGAUAAUGGCUUGGCUUCUGAUCCUGGAAGGAAGCUUCAGUCAAGAACUCAAGAUUCCCAGUUUUGGUAG
rnacentral:rRNA from 1 species